rnacentral:rRNA from 1 species
GAUGAACGCUAGCGGGAGGCCUAACACAUGCCAGCCGAGCGGUAGAGUUUCUUCGGAAACUUGAGAGCGGCGCACGGGUGCGUAACACGUGUGCAACCUACCUUUAUCUGGGGGAUAGCCUUUCGAAAGGAAGAUUAAUACCCCAUAAUAUAAUGAUUGGCAUCAAUUAUUAUUGAAAACUCCGGUGGAUAGAGAUGGGCACGCGCAAGAUUAGAUAGUUGGUGAGGUAACAGCUCACCAAGUCAAUGAUCUUUAGGGGUCCUGAGAGGGAGAUCCCCCACACUGGUACUGAGACACGGACCAGACUCCUACGGGAGGCAGCAGUGAGGAAUAUUGGACAAUGGGUGAGAGCCUGAUCCAGCCAUCCCGCGUGAAGGAUGACGGUCCUAUGGAUUGUAAACUUCUUUUGUACAGGGAUAAACCUACCCUCGUGAGGGUAGCUGAAGGUACUGUACGAAUAAGCACCGGCUAACUCCGUG